AUGGGUGCUAUUAGUGACUUCCUAGAUCUGGGACCUUUAUAAAGUGACCGUCCAGCUCCUUUCUGCAAAGGGCCGCGUCCAUGACCCUCAGUUGUCUUUGUGCCUCGGGGGGGCCUAAAGAAUGCGGCAGAGUCACGUUCUGGUAUGAGUCCAGGCCUCAGGAGGCAGGUGUGCUUCUGCUUUUUCUCCUAGAGCUUUUCCUCCACUGUGAGAAACAGCUAGGCUGGAGGAUGAGAGGCCGGAGGGAGCAGAGGUGAAUGCCCUGGAUGAGGUGCCAUCGCUGUGCGUCCUGCCCACUGGCCACACAGGACCAGCCAGCUCAGCUUCCAGCAGAGGCACCCACUCACCCCAGAUUCCUGAGCAAAAUGAACUGCAAAAGCUCUAUGCCACAUAGGGGUUUAAGAUGAUUCUGCCCGCAGCAUUAUUUGGGGGCAAUAAAUAACUGAGACCAAUAUCUGGGUGAGUGACAAAAGACUGAUCCUCAGAUGUCCCCCAAACACAUAGUGGAGAGAGACAUUGGGCUCCAAUGAGUUGCUGGGACAAAUGCUGACCUCAGCUCUCAGAUGCUCAUGAAUCUUACAAGUGUGAUCAGAAUGGAGACCAUGGCUGCAGGUGAUGCAGGAUGCAUUCAAGGUGAAGUUUCAAGAUACAGCCUUCAACAGCUCUGGAGAUGCAGAGGAAGCUGAAAUGAAGCUGCCUCCAUUGAGGAGCAGGUUCUAAACUAUACAUGCUCUGUGCAAAGUCCAGGGACUGUAGGAGGAUAUGCUAUGUCCUACUGGGAUCCACAUCCUUGGGGGACAGACCUGCUGCAGAGGCAGGAUGGACUCUGGUCCAUCACAGGAUGGGGGUAACCAAGAGGCGGCCAGGACCCUUGCUGGGGGCUUGGCAGCUUCAUCCCAAAACCUGGAGACUUGGGUGGGAGCUCUCAUGGAGCCGCCCUGGCGCCAGAUUUAGUCUCCAUGGUGUCUCCUGAAAGAUACACACCCACGUGCUCCUAACGACAGAACCUCAUAGGGGGUGGACACCCUUAAUGUCCCAAUUUCACAAAAGAGAAAAGUACAGCACACAGAGCCAGGUCACCCAUGGUGGAGGCUGUGAGACUGGAGCCCAGUUCCAUCUCACUGCUAAUGUCCUUUCUGCCCUUGACUCCACGUUUCCUGCUGGGUGGGCAGAGCCCAGAGGUGGCGGAUCCAGGCUGGGUGACACUGGCCAUCCAGAGAGGCUGCUGGGGGACUGCAGCUUUUAAGGAGGAAGUGACACCUGGCAGCUAAGAGUCUAGCCUUGGGACCAGGCUGGUCAAGGACCAGGUUCUAGUUCCUAGAGAUGGCUGGAGGGGCAGGUGAACAAGAGGAAGGGAGCAGGGACCAGGCAGAGAAGGGGAGGCUUCAGGCGGAGGAGACAAAGAAGGGGAAGCACAUGCAAGGACGAUUUGGAGACUCACGGGGGGCCCAGCCAUCAGGAUCUGGAUCUCCAAAUGCCUUGUAGCCCUGCCUCAGGCCCUUGACUCCUGCCAGAACUGGGUCUACAAGUAACUUGUUCAUCCCUCGGGAGUAGCACUGACAUGAACAUAAUUGCUAAGUAUCCCUCCUUGAAUAUCUGCUCUCCCUCCUUCUUUUAUACUAGAAACUAGGUUUUAGGGCAGAUCUGGUGGGCCUGAAUAAACCCUCCAUUUCCCAGCCUCCACUGUAGCUGGGUGUGGCCAUGUCUGUAACUUCUGGUCACCAAAAUAUAGCUGAGCAUGACAGGAGCAUCUCUCAGAAAUGUUCUCUAAGAAGAGUGAGUAGGUCCUUUUUGGUCUCUUUCUCCUUCCUGCAGGCUGGACUGUGGACAUGACAGCUGGAGCAUAAGCAGCCAUGCUGAACUAUGAGGUGUCACCUAAGGAAGCUAGGCUGCAGAGUAGAUGCUAACAGCACCAGCUACCUCUUCUCAGACCUCAUCUAUGAGUGAGGGUGAUAAACGUGAGCCACUGGAAUAUCUGCAUGUAAGUACCUUACAUCGAAGCAAACCUCAUCCUAACUGAAGCUCUGCAUUUACAAUUCCUUUUGUACUUUCAGACUAGGGAAAUAUUCCCGUCUCCAUAAUCCAUUCAAAUCAGUGAUGCCUUUAUAUGUAGUUGGGGAAACAGCAGUGGAAGCUGUUACAUGGAUUUAUUAUCUUGUCUUCUUUCAGUGCUACCUUUUCUGAAAAGGUGGUUUUAUGAGUUGGAGGUAUUGAUUUUUUAAAACCUACUUCCCUUAUUCAGUUUUCCAGUUGUGACCUGAGCAUAUUUUACCAAGACCGUUUGGAGAAACUGGACCAGUACAUUUGGCAUAUCUUAACCGAGAGACACAAACUCCUUAGUGACAUCUAAGAGGCACAUUCUCUCCCCUACCCCUGUCCCUAGGAGAAACUUGUUUUCUAAACCUCUUGAUAGAUACUGAAUGUGAUGACCCCAAAGGGAGAGGACACAGAACCAGAUAAUCCCCAUGUGAGGUGGGUGCAGGCUGCAGUUUCACUCACUCUGCAAAGUGACAGCCCCUCACCCUCAGGAGGCUGUUCUGAGUGCGUGCAGAGCUGGCCUGGCUUGGAAUUGUCAUCAAUCUACUGAUUUCUUUCUUUCUUUCCUUUCUUUCUUUCUUUCUUUCUUUUUUUUCUUUCUUCCUUCCUUCCUUCCUUUCAUUCUUUCGUUCUUUCUUCUUCCUCCCUCCCUCCCUUUCUUCCUUUCUUUCUUUUUUUUUUUUUUUUUUUUUUUUUGGCUUUUUGGGGCUGCACCUGCAGCAUAUGGAAGUUCCCAGACUAGGGGUCAAAUUGGAGCUGUAGCUGCCAGCCUACACCACAGCCACAGCAACAAGGGAUCCAAGCCACGUCUACAACCUACACUGAAGCUCACAGCAACACUGGAUCCUUAAACCACUGCGCAAGGCUAGGGAUCGAACUCACAUCCUCAUGGAUACUAGUUGGAUUCGUUUCCACUGAGCCGUGAUGGGAACUCCCAGUCUGCAGCUUUCUGUUAUUUCCAUGGACCUUUUCUGGGUGAUCUCUGCAUCAGCCAGGGGACAGCCAGCAGGCGAGAGCCCCCUCAUCUUGGAGAGCAUCUGAGAGGAAGCCGAGUAGAAGCUCCAUGCCCCAAUCUGCUGUUUGACCUGCUCUGUUUAUAAUGACUCACUGAAGCCAUUUCUGCACCCACAACAGGGAAAAUGGAAAGGUUUGCUCGUGUGAGUUACACAGGAGAGUGGGCUGCCCGGUGGCUUCAGCUGGUCUGUGUGAGUGUGUCGUUUACCCCAAAUCCCAAUGGCUUGGGUUGACAUUGGGCCAAGGGGAGCCCGAAAAGCCCUGGUUUCAUGCUUCCUGUCACUCACGGCUUCCCUGAGGUGUGUCCUCCUGAUGUUUACAAGGAAGGGAAACCCACAGGUUCACACACAAACGUGCAUACACAGAGUUGAGGUCUUAACAUGCUUUGGGAGCCAGGUGCUUGUGAGAACCAUAAUGAUUGGCAAAAUCUUCCUGUUUCUUCUCUUCAGAGAAGUUGGCAGGUGAGUAUAAACAAGCCUUGUUGAAAUGGGAAGUCUUUCAGUAUAAUCAGAGCCAAUGAAAUAUGAGCUAUUCUUGAUGUAUUUCUCUUAUUUUAGGAAACUUUAAUUUCUUUUUUCUUUUUUCUGCUUUUUUAGGGCUAUACCUGCAGCAUAUGGAGGUUCCCAGGCUAAGGGUUGAAUCAGAGCUUCAGCUGCCAGCCUAUACCACAGCCACAGCAAUGCAGGAUCCAAGCCAUGUCUGCGACCUACACCACAGCUCACAGCAACACGGAUCCUUAACACACUGAGAGAGGCCAGCAAUCGAACCCACAUCCUUAGGGAUACUAGUCAGAUUCAUUUCUGCUGUGCCACAAUGGGAACUCCUUUAAUUUCUCAAGAAAAAAAAAAAAAAAAAGGAAGCUGGAAAUAUGGAGGAAAUAAGCAGUAGCUUUAGGAAAAAAUGUUAAAUACCUUUUUUUUUUUUUUUUUAAGAUGUAAGUUUGCACCUACGCAUUUGGGUUUCUGAUCCUGCAGACAUGGCCAUGGCUCCAUCACACACAGCACUGCUAUGUUAUAAAAAACCAUACAAACUGCAAAACACUUUUUUCUUCCCUCUUUCCUCACCUUUAUGAAAACCGUCUCUUCUCUUGGCUGAAAGAGUCCUGAAAUAAACAGUCCCAGACUUGAAAUGAUAUGAAACUGAAUGGCUGUUGUGACCUUUCUGGGGAAAUUCACCAAGAGACAUUUUGAAGCCAUUUUCCAUGCCCUGAAGGAUUUUAAUAUCAAACUUCAGAAUAAGCAUGAGUAAAGAUUUUUGAAUUAAAGAUAUUGUAUGACUAUUACAUAGCACAUAUGUAAUAAAUGGAUCCAUAAGAAAUUUAGCUGGGCUGGGGUUCCCGUCAAGGUGCAGGGGAAACAAAUCCGACUAGGAUCCAUGAGGUUGGGGGUUCGAUCCCUGGCCUCGCUCAGUGGGUUAAGGAUCUGCUGUUGCCGUGAGCUGUGGUGUAGGUCGCAGACGCAGCUCGGAUCUAUAGCUCUGGUUGACCCCUAGCCUGGGAACCUCCAAAUGCCGAAAGUACAGCCCUAAAACAAAACAAAACAAAACACCCACCUAAGUGUCAUAGUUUGCAUCUACUAACCCCAAACUCCAGUCCAUCCUACUCCCUCCUUCCUCCCGCUUGGCAACCAGUUCUGCUUUCUAUGUCUGUGAGUCUGUUCCUGUUCCAUAGAUAGGUUUACACAGCUUUUAUUUUUUUACAAAGCCCUGCUGGCCAGCCUGACGUGGGUGGGACCCCUUGCCCCAGCCUGACCUCUGGCAGGUGUGUGCACUGCCCAGCUCCAGACUGAUGUCUUGGAAUCCCUGACCUAAUGGUCUGCUCAUUCCUUGUUUUCCAUCUCAGGCUUGUGCUGGGCCUCCCAGUGGGGCCUGCUUGCCCUGAGCCAGGAAUCUGCAGCUGUUAGGCCUAGACAUAAGAGUUUGAAAUCUGAAAUUUGAUAGGCAGCCCUUAACAACUAAGCAGAGAGUCUCAGACUCUGCUAAUGUGCUCCCUGUCAUAGGUAGAACGGCCGUCUUCAGACCGCAUUGCCAAAGAGCUGUUCCAGUCUUUCUCUAACAGAUGUGUUACCGCUGAAGGAUCCAGAUGGUUGCUGAUGCAAUUCAAUUGCUAGGCAAGGGGGAAAAAUCUCAUCAACUCCUAUGU
rnacentral:lncRNA from 1 species